rnacentral:rRNA from 1 species
CCUACGGGUGGCAGCAGUGGGGAAUAUUGCGCAAUGGGCGAAAGCCUGACGCAGCGACGCCGCGUGAGGGAUGAAGGUCUUCGGAUCGUAAACCUCUGUCAGCAGGGAAGAACGGUCACUGUGCUAAUCAGCAGUGAAUUGACGGUACCUGCAAAGGAAGCACCGGCUAACUCCGUGCCAGCAGACGCGGUAAUACGGAGGGUGCGAGCGUUAAUCGGAAUUACUGGGCGUAAAGCGCUCGUAGGCGGUAUGUCAAGUCAAGGGUGAAAUCCCCGCGCUCAACGUGGGAACUGCCUUUGAAACUGGCAAACUGGAGUGUGUGAGAGGAUAGGGGAAUUCCAGGUGUAGGAGUGAAAUGCGUAGAUAUCUGGAGGAACAUCAGUGGCGAAGGCGACUAUCUGGCACAUAACUGACGCUGAGGAGCGAAAGCGUGGGUAGCAAACAGGAUUAGAUACCCUAGUAGUC